rnacentral:rRNA from 1 species
CCUACGGGUGGCUGCAGUGGGGAAUAUUGCACAAUGGGGGAAACCCUGAUGCAGCGACGCCGCGUGAGCGAAGAAGUAUUUCGGUAUGUAAAGCUCUUUCAGCAGGGAAGCAAAUGACGGUACCUGACUAAGAAGCUCCGGCUCAAUACGUGCCAGCAGCCGCGGUAAUACGUAUGGAGCAAGCGUUAUCCGGAUUUACUGGGUGUAAAGGGGGAGUAGGCGGUAAGGCAAGUCUGAUGUGAAAGGCCUGGGCUCAACCCUGGGACUGCAUUGGAAACUGUUUAACUGGAGUGUCGGAGAGGCAAGUGGAAUGCCUGGUGGAGCGGUGAAAUGCGUAGAUAUUAGGAGGAACACCAGUGGCGAAGGCGGCGUGCUGGACGAUAACUGACGCUGAGGCUCGAAAGCGUGGGGAGCAAACAGGAUUAGAUACCCCAGUAGUC